GAUGAACGCUGGCGGCGUGCCUAAUACAUGCAAGUCGAGCGAACAGACGAGGAGCUUGCUCCUCUGAUGUUAGCGGCGGACGGGUGAGUAACACGUGGAUAACCUACCUAUAAGACUGGGAUAACUUCGGGAAACCGGAGCUAAUACCAUAUAAUAUUUUGAACCGCAUGGUUCAACAGUGAAAGACGGUCUUGCUGUCACUUAUAGAUGGAUCCGCGCUGCAUUAGCUAGUUGGUAAGGUAACGGCUUACCAAGGCAACGAUGCAUAGCCGACCUGAGAGGGUGAUCGGCCACACUGGAACUGAGACACGGUCCAGACUCCUACGGGAGGCAGCAGUAGGGAAUCUUCCGCAAUGGGCGAAAGCCUGACGGAGCAACGCCGCGUGAGUGAAGAAGGUCUUCGGAUCGUAAAACUCUGUUAUUAGGGAAGAACAAAUGUGUAAGUAACUAUGCACGUCUUGACGGUACCUAAUCAGAAAGCCACGGCUAACUACGUG
rnacentral:rRNA from 1 species